GUGAAACCGUUUAGGGGUAAACCUGAGAAAUCCAAAAGAUCGAAUGGAGAGAUUCAUCGUCAGCUUAUUAUGUAUAUGUAUGAAUUAUGAUACGGGUUACUACUUGUAGUAUUGCCUGUACGUUUUUAUAUAUUUAUUUGCAUGAUAUUGUCGGCGUGCACUUCUCUCCUAGUAGGACAUCGCGACCCGUUGAGUGUCGGUCUACGGCCCAAGUUGGAAGCCUUUAAUGUUUUUUUUAAUAUUAAAGACCCUUGGUGUAUUCUGACCGGCUACUCGGCGGUAAUCGUAUGGUAUUAAGCCGCAUAUUUAUAUGCGUUCUUAUCCGUCACAAGCGCGGCUAAUAUUUUUAGUAGUACGGACUCAGUGCCGUCACUUGUAUUGGCCAGCUGUUGGUUGUACGGUAUUCUAAAACUGGCUAAUUUACCGGUCAGCGAUGCUACUGCUUUGGAUACUUUCAGGACCCGUCUUGAAACACGGACCAAGGAGUCUAACAUGUGCGCAAGUCAUUGGGAUUUUUAAAUAAUUAAACCUAAAGGCGUAAUAAAAGUAAAAAUUGUCCUUGUGUCAAUUGAGGGAGGAUGAGUUGUAUUUUAUUACAGUUUCGCACUCCCGGGGCGUCUCAUUC
rnacentral:rRNA from 1 species